UACGUAGGGUGCAAGCGUUUGUCCGGAAUUAUUGGGCGUAAAGAGCUCGUAGGCGGUUUGUCGCGUCGAAUGUGAAAACCCGGGGCUCAACCCCGGGCCUGCAUUCGAUACGGGCAGACUAGAGUUCGGUAGGGGAGUCUGGAAUUCCUGGUGUAGCGGUGAAAUGCGCAGAUAUCAGGAGGAACACCGGUGGCGAAGGCGGGACUCUGGGGCCGAUACUGACGCUGAGGAGCGAAAGCGUGGGGAGCAAACAGG
rnacentral:rRNA from 1 species